rnacentral:rRNA from 1 species
UACGGGGGGGGCAAGCGUUGUUCGGAAUUACUGGGCGUAAAGGGCUCGUAGGUGGCCAACUAAGUCAGACGUGAAAUCCCUCAGCUUAACUGGGGAACUGCGUCUGAUACUGGAUGGCUUGAGUUUGGGAGAGGGAUGCGGAAUUCCAGGUGUAGCGGUGAAAUGCGUAGAUAUCUGGAGGAACACCGGUGGCGAAGGCGGCAUCCUGGACCGACACUGACGCUGAGGAGCGAAAGCCAGGGGAGCAAACGGG